rnacentral:rRNA from 1 species
CGAAAGCCUGACGGAGCAAUACCGCGUGAGGGAGGAAAGUCUAAUAGAUUGUAAACCUCUUUUUUCGGGAAAGAAAAAAAUGACGGUACCCGAAGAAUAAGCAUCGGCUAACUCCGUGCCAGCAGCCGCGGUAAUACGGAGGAUGCAAGCGUUAUCCGGAAUUAUUGGGCGUAAAGCGUCCGCAGGUGGUCAAACAAGUCUGCUGUCAAAGACCAGAGCUCAACUCUGGGCAGGCGGUAGAAACUGUAAGACUAGAGACCGGUAGGGGUAGAGGGAAUUCCCAGUGUAGCGGUGAAAUGCGUAGAUAUUGGGAAGAACACCAGUGGCGAAGGCGCUCUACUGGGCCGGAACUGACACUCAGGGACGAAAGCUAGGGGAGCA